CUCUCUCUCUCUCUCUCCCCCUCCACUUUCUCCCUCUACUCUGAAACAAACUGACAGAGCUCCGUCUUCUUCUGAAUUUAUAGGAAUCAUUCUUUGUUAAUAUCAUCAAUUUGAGCUCAUCGAGGCAAAUCCAACGGGGCUGAUAUUGUGCGGUAAGGUUGAUGAUAUCGAUCCAAUCAGUUAACAAUAAAUAAACACCCACAUUAAACUAUUGUUUAUUAAUUUUUUU
rnacentral:misc_RNA from 1 species